rnacentral:rRNA from 1 species
GGACCCGCACAAGCGGUGGAUGAUGUGGAUUAAUUCGAUGCAACGCGAAGAACCUUACCUACCCUUGACAUGCCAGGAAGCCCGAUGAGAGUUGGGUGUGCCCGAAAGGGAGCCUGGACACAGGUGCUGCAUGGCUGUCGUCAGCUCGUGUCGUGAGAUGUUGGGUUAAGUCCCGCAACGAGCGCAACCCUUGUCACUAGUUGCUACGGUAACGGGCACUCUAGUGAGACUGCCGGUGACAAACCGGAGGAAGGUGGGGAUGACGUCAAGUCCUCAUGGCCCUUAUGGGUAGGGCUUCACACGUCAUACAAUGGCGCAUACAGAGGGCUGCCAACCCGCGAGGGGGAGCCAAUCCCAGAAAGUGCGUCGUAGUCCGGAUUGCAGUCUGCAACUCGACUGCAUGAAGUCGGAAUCGCUAGUAAUCGCGGAUCAGCAAUGUCGCGGUGAAUACGUUCCCGGGUCUU